rnacentral:antisense_RNA from 1 species
GAGGUCAAGACCACGCCUGACUCAGGCAGUCGGACGGGCAGGGAGGCCGCAAGGCAUGGUGUGAGUGGGUGGAGCUGUCAGGACUGCCCCAGCCCCUGGCUCAAAGAUGCCCAACCCCAGGACCCUGCCUCUGCUGGAUGGUGAAGGCCAACUUCCCCUCUGUUGGAGCUGGCCUGCGCGUUGUGGGAAGGCCUGGGAGGAGGCCCAGGACAAUGCAGAACAGACAGGACAUUUCACAGAGCAGGCUGCCAUGUCCCUCGGCACCUUGGGGGCUGCUGAGGCCCUGAGAAAGGUCACUGGAGGCCUGGCUGGAAGUGCAGGGUUAUCUCAGUACUUGUUUUAAGGCUCCGGAGCCCCACACGGUGGAUCGGGCAGAGGAAGUCAGCUGUGCUGCUUAACCGCGGCGUUUCCGUCCUGGUCCUGCUCACCAGGUCUGCAAAGUCCUCUUCCUCCCUGCCUGAUUCUCGUCACCAUUUUUAACACGCCUAUGGAGAGGCCACGUUGAGUCCAGAGGUCCGUGCGCCUCAUGGCCACAUCACAGCACCCGUUCACCCACACAAGGGCCAGGAGCAUCCCCUAGGGAGGAGGAGAUGGCAGAUCUGCACAGGCUCUGCGCUCCUCUCUCUCCCAAGCGUCCUCUCCUCUGUGUGGCAGGCUCGGCCCAUGAUGGGGGAGCCCCUUCUGCAGGGCUCUGUUUAGAGGGUGCCUGCCCCACAGCCUGUGGCUGUUCUGACUCAUCCCAGAACAGAAAUGGGUGCCCAGCUGGUCAACAUAUAUUUGUUACCUUGCUUUACAAUGCCUUGAGAGUGGAACCACCCGUGCGUGCUUGGCUGGUCAAGAAUCAUGUUCUAGAAAUUAUUUCCAGUGCCGAACACAGUCCUUGAGAUUUAAAAACGCUUAGGGGAUGAAUGGAAAAUAGCAGGGCCUCUUACCAGCCUGCAACACCUUUAGAGGCACUGAUGCCACGUGCACAGACCCAGCUCUGGGAAGCACAAGCUCGGCGGUGUGUGGGAAGUUGCGAGGACUGGCUUUAAAGUCACAGCAGUUUCUUGAAAGAUGAGGGGGAGGACAGUGACGCUCACAGCACAGCCACUUGUCAACUUGGGCAUGACACACACAAAGCCCAGAGCUUGGACGGCACCGCGAGGAGGCUGGGACUCACGUCAGGCGGCACUUGGUGGACAGUUAUAAGAAAGGAUGGCAGCCAAGCCAGUGCCUCCUGUGCUCUGGCUCUGGGGCCCUGGACAUACCUGGGGAUUCAGUUUCACAUGGACCAGCAUUCUCCAAGCACUCUGAUCAAUCUUACAGGAGAAGUAGGUUGUGUGGUCUGGGAGCCUUGAGAAGGUUCCACUGUAAUCUGUUCAGACUUUUGGACAGGAUUUUUCUGCCUUAAGUGGCUGAUGUGCGUCUGCAGGAGGGUAGCACACAGCACCCUCUCGGCCUGUUGUGCCACAAAACCUUUGCUUUUACAGGUCUUACGGAGCCAGUGGGCUGCCCAAUGUCCCAGUGCAGAGUGGAGAUGAGGUCUUCCCCUCCUUCCCAGCUUGCCUGGGCAGCGACGUGUCUCAGAGACCCCCGCCAGGGCCAAUCCUGGCCCAUCCUACUAGCUUGGGGUGUGAAGUCACGGUUGAUGCUGAACACCUGGCUGGGCCAGACUUGUGCCCAAGAAACCUUAUACUACAAAGUGGUUUUCAAAAGAAAAAAAUAGUAAUUCAAAACUCUGAGAUAUAAAUAUAAUUCUUUAAAAACUGCAGCGUGGUUCACUGGCCCUGUGAUGGGCUGACUGCGCCCCCAAGUUCAUGUGGCAGCCUUGACCCCUGGGACCUCAGCGUGUGGCGUCUUGGAGACAGGGGCUUUACAUAGGCAAUGAAGGUAAAACAAGCUCUUAUGAUGGCCCUGACCCAACAGGACCGGUGUCCUUAUCAGAAAGGGAUAUCUGGACACAGAGACAGACAUGCAUGUGUGGAGACACCAGCUGAAGAUGAAGAUGGCAUCUACCAGCUGGGGGAGUGGCCUCAGGAGAAACCGGCUCUGCCCACGCCUCGACCUCCGACUUCCAGCCUCCAGAGCCGCGUGAAAAGAAACUUCCGUCAUUUAAGCUGCCCUGUCUGUGGGACUUUGCCUCGGCAGCCUGAGCAGACAAUACAGGCUCCAAAAAUGCUCUCUGCAUGUGUGAUUCUGGCCAGGACCACCCUGCCUGAAGCCAUGGCUAUGCUGAAGUUAAUUGUCCGAUUUCUGCCGGCCACGUGGUUUUGAUCCAAAAACACUUGAAAGCUGCUGGUAAGACGCGGAAAAGCUGAGUCCCGGCAUCGCUGUUCCUUCCAAGCGACUGUUCACACCCAGGGUGUGAGCAGGCCUCCCAUCCAGGGUCCAGCCUGGCCCGAGGCUCACUGGGCACCAUCCAGAUCUAUGACAGGGUCCCCCCAUUCAGGGUCCAGCCCGGCCCGAGGCUCACUGGGCACCAUCCAGAGGCCCCAGAUGCCGACACCCGGGGACGGGCUGUAUCAGGCAGAUGUUUCCUCCUGGGCUCCACCUGGGGAUGGGCCCCGGAUGCUGACACCUAGGGAUGGGCUGUAUUAGGCAGAUGUUCCUCCCGGGCUCUAGUUUUCCAGGCCCACAGGAGGAAGUCCUGAUGGGGCCAGGGGAGGCAUUGGAGGUGAGAUUGGGAGGAUGGUGGGGUCACAAAGGUUGACAUUGCCUGUGCCACUUUCUCCAAGGUCUGGGGCCGCCACCCUGUGGUGCCUUUGGAAGCUGCCAUGUGGGGCUGGCCCAUGGUGACUGGCCACGGCAGGGCUGUGUGUGGUAUGCACCUGUGAGCUGCUGAAACGCAGCCUGGGGGCCAGGAACCAGCUGCCCCAUCCUCUCUGCAGGAGGUCAGGUUUGAGCACAUAUUCCCUCAAACGCUCAUAGACAUCAGUAUCUCAGGACAAAGUGCUUGUCUGAGACCCAGGUUUGGGCCCAAAGGUGGUACCAUCGAGGGAGGCAUGUUCUGGCAGGUGACAGCCCCUCCUCUGUGCCUCAACCUGCAGUUUCUGCCCCCGCAUAAAACGCCGCUGUCUCAGGUCCUCCCUGUCCCCCAACCUGCACAAGGCUCACAGCUCACAGGCACCUGUGUGGGUGUCGUGGUAGGAUCUGUCUCUGAGGUCCAGCCCGUGGCUGUGCCACAUAGGCCCAAAUCCAAGCACUCCCCUCCUGGGCACGUGGCUGUGUGUGCGUGUGUGGCUGGGUGGGCAGGGGGGCUGACUCUGGCCACCGAAAUGGAGAGGAGCUGUGCACUCCCUGGGUCUGGCCCACACAGGCUCCUUCCCAAGUGCUGCUGCUGGGAAAUGGAGGUCCCCAGGUGAGACGGGAGCCAGGCACUGUGGGGGUGGCCCCUGAGGGGCUGCAGGUUGGCACUGCCCAGCCGACGUGUUCCCCAGUCCUGCACCAGGGGAUGAACGAGGAAUCGGCUUCUGCUGUGCUGAACAUCCCACUGGUUCAUGUCCACUUGUUUGGCUGAUCCUAACUGAUCUGCUAUCUGAGUUUGAAUCUCAGCGCUGUUAUUAGUCAGGGGUCCUGGAGGUGGGUGGCCCCACCUCACCUAAACCACAGAGACGCUCAUCCUCACGUGUGCACAGGUCCAUCUCAGCUUCAGCUUGCGAGCAGGACCCUUACUGUGGGGCCACGAUGGACCCUGGAAAGCUGGUCUGACUGUGCCAAGCCCAUCGGGGGUUGGGGGAAAGAAGGUGGGAGCUUGGCGCCUGGAGGGCAGUGGAGAGCCUCAGCGAGUGCCAGGAGGAUCUGCUGUCUUCCCAGUGUUGUCUUCGCAGCGGAGAUGAGUUCACACAGCCUCAUCUAUGUUUCCGAUGGCCUCUGUGUGCAAGACGGGCCACGGGUUUUGUGCAGUAUUUGCCUGUGGGUCAGAGCCUGGUGAAGAGGCCCUCAGCUCCAGGUCCUGAUGUUACUUGUGCCAGCCUGGCCACAGUGCCUGGCCUCCAGAAGCUGCUGUUAGAGGAGCAGACAGGAGGGCAGGGUGGACGGUUAACAUGACCAAGGCCCCAGAGCCCCGUGCCCUCCUCAGCAGCCAGCACACCCUCUGUUCUGUGACCUCGCCCCUGCACUGCGGUGACUGACAGAUGCUCCCUGGCCCCCUGCCCCACUGCCGUGCCACCCCUGACAGCUGCGUGUACUCUCCUGCUUUAGAACAAGGACCUUUCCCUUUUGUGCAUGAAUACGCUCUCAGCAGAUGCAAGAAAA